GAUGAACGCAGGCGGCGUGCCUAAUACAUGCAAGUCGAGCGAAUGGAUUAAGAGCUUGCUCUUAUGAAGUUAGCGGCGGACGGGUGAGUAACACGUGGGUAACCUGCCCAUAAGACUGGGAUAACUCCGGGAAACCGGGGCUAAUACCGGAUAACAUUUUGAACCGCAUGGUUCGAAAUUGAAAGGCGGCUUCGGCUGUCACUUAUGGAUGGACCCGGGUCGCAUUAGCUAGUUGGUGAGGUAACUGCUCACGAAGGCAACGAUGCGGAGCCGACCUGAGAGGGUGAUCGGCCACACUGGGACUGAGACACGGCCCAGACUCCUACGGGAGGCAGCAGUAGGGAAUCUUCCGCAAUGGACGAAAGUCUGACGGAGCAACGCCGCGUGAGUGAUGAAGGCUUUCGGGUCGUAAAACUCUGUUGUUAGGGAAGAACAAGUGCUAGUUGAAUAAGCUGGCACCUUGACGGUACCUAACCAGAAAGCCACGGCUAACUACGUGCCAGCAGCCGCAGUAA
rnacentral:rRNA from 1 species